rnacentral:rRNA from 1 species
AUGUCUUCCUCCGGCUCCUUCUCGCCUAGCCUCAACAACCAGGUCACAGAGAAGUUAUCACGCACAAACUACGUGCCGUGGCGCACGCAGAUCACACCUCAGCUGCGCGGUGCCGGCGUCUUCAGCUACAUCGACGGCACCAAUCCAGAGCCGGCCAAGCUCCUCGUCACCACCAAGGAUAACAAGGAGACUACAUCGCCCAACCCUCUUCACCCUAUAUGGGUACGGGAGGAUCAG